CGCUCUUUGGAAUAAUUUUUAUUGUUUAUACUUAUAUAUAAAGAGUCGAACCUGCCCGGUGACAGUGUUUGUUAAACGGCCGCGGUACUCUGACCGUGCAAAGGUAGCAUAAUCAUUUGCCUUUUAAUUGAAGGCUUGUAUGAAUGGUUUGACGAGAACUAAACUGUCUCUUUUUAAAUAUAUAAAAAUUAAUUUUUAGGUGAAGAAGCCUGUAUUUAAUUGAGGGACAAGAAGACCCCGUUGAGCUUUAGUGAUUUAAUAAAAAUCCAUAAAAGUUAAAUUUUUAAUGUUACAUUUAUUUGAAAAUACUUUUUAUUAAUAAAUCUUUAGUUGGGGCGACUGAGGAACAUAAAUAGCUUCCUUUAAUAAAAUAGAUUUAAGGAAGUCGAUCUAGUAAUUUAGAUCCAGUAUUUACUGAUUAAAGGAAAAAGUUACCACGGGGAUAACAGCGUAAUCUUUCUGGAGAGUUCUUAUCGAAAGGAGGGUUUGCGACCUCGAUGUUGGAUUAAGAUAUCCUAGAGAUGCAGAAGUUUCUAAUGGUUAGUCUGUUCGACUAUUAAAAUCUU
rnacentral:rRNA from 1 species